UUUAUAUAGCAGACAUUUCUCAAAGAUUGUCUUUAUAAUGGAAGAAAUUGUUCAUUUGAGUAGAGUAGUUCUGUUUGGUCCAGGUUCAACUUUAUGUUCAACCUCACAACCUUUCGAACCCUCUUUUGGACACGCUUGAAUUUAUCAUCGUAAAUUUUGAUUGCUAAAGGUAACCUUGUCCUACAGCCCACCAGAACCUGCUGAAGGAUAAAAGAAUGAAGGUUUUAAUCCAUGGAUUUAUUUGGUGAAUGCUGAAGUGUGUCAUUCAGGCAAUAGAUCAAUAUGGAUAGUUGGCAGAUAUAUUCUUUCAGUAAAGCAGUGUGGAACAUCCACCAUACUUGCCCGAUUUAAUACCUUGUGCCUUUUUCAUGUUUCUGAAGAAAUCUUGAAAGAAUCUCAUUCUCAAUUACUUGAAGGUAAUCAGAGAAUGUGAAGGCAGCACUGAAAGGAAUUAUCUCAGAACAGUUUUCGCUAUGCAGGAAGGAUUGGCUGAGAAUUAGAAUAUGUGUAUGAAGCCAGUAGCACUCCACCACAAGUGCACAACCACAGAUAUAAUGCUUAAUGUGUCUCUCUUGAAAGAGAGCCUAAGUGUCCAUGCAGCAGGAGGGAGUAAAAUAAAAUAGGAUACUACUUGUUGGUGUGAUGCACAGUACCACCAAAAAAGCUGAGAAGGCCCAACAGGAACCCUGAAAAUGGUGGCUAAUAUGGCUCCAGUCAAGCUAUGGCAGGCCCAGCAAGCCAA